rnacentral:rRNA from 1 species
ACUGACAGCCAUGGUUACCGCGGCUGCUGGCACGGAGUUAGCCGGUGCUUCUUCUGUGAGUGAUGUCCUUCCUGCCGGCUAUUAACCCGCAGGCCUUCUUCCUCACUGAAAGUGCUUUACAACCCGAAGGCCUUCUUCACACACGCGGCAUGGCUGGAUCAGGGUUGCCCCCAUUGUCCAAUAUUCCCCACUGCUGCCUCCCGUAGGAGUCUGGGCCGUGUCUCAGUCCCCAGUGUGGCUGAUCAUCCUCUCAGACCAGCUACGGAUCGUCGCCUUGGUGAGCCGUUACCUCACCAACCAGCUAAUCCGACAUAGGCUCAUCCGAUAGCGCGAGGCCCGAAGGUCCCCCGCUUUCCCCCGUAGGGCGUAUGCGGUAUUAGCCUGGGUUUCCCCAGGUUAUCCCCCACUACCGGGCAGAUUCCUAUGCAUUACUCACCCGUCCGCCGCUCGCCACCAGGGAGCAAGCUCCCCGGUGCCUGCCGCUCGACUUGCAUGUGUUGGCCUGCCGCCAGCGUUCAA